rnacentral:rRNA from 1 species
AGUACGGCGAGUGAAGAGGAAGAGCUCAAAGUUGGAACCUGUUUGGCCUAGCUAAACCGNNNNNNNNNNNNNAGAAGUGUUUUCCAGGCAAGCCGAGUAAAUAAGUCCUUUGGAACAGGGCAUCAUAGAGGGUGAGAAUCCCGUCUUUGGCUUGAGCAUUUGCCUUUUGUGAUACGCUUUCAAAGAGUCAGGUUGUUUGGGAAUGCAGCCUAAAUUGGGUGGUAAAUCUCACCUAAAGCUAAAUAUUGGCGAGAAACCGAUAGCGAACAAGUACCGUGAGGGAAAGAUGAAAAGAACUUUGAAAAGAGAGUUAAACAGUAUGUGAAAUUGUUAAAAGGGAACCGUUUGGAGCCAGACUGGCUUGUCUGUAAUCAAUCUAGGCUUCGGCCUGGAUGCACUUGCAGGCUAUGCCUGCCAACGACAAUUUGACUUGAGGGAAAAAACUAAGGGAAAUGUGGCCCACUUGUGGGUGUUAUAGUCCCUUAGAAAAUACCUUGGGUUGGAUUGAGGAACGCAGCGAAUGCUUUUUGGCGAGUUUUCCAGGAAGGUUUUCUGAGGUACUACGGUAUCAAGGUUGAUCUUUUUGGUUAUACUUCUAUUCGCUUAGGUUGUUGGCUU